rnacentral:lncRNA from 1 species
UUUUAUAUUAAAAUAUAAUAAUUAAAUGUUGCAUUAAAGAAAAGUAAAUUAAAAGUGUUAGUAUAUACAUAUAUAUAUAUUCAUUUAUUAGAAAUAGUCGUUUAUUUUAUGUGAUUACUAUUUUUUAGUUUUGUACAAAAAAAAAAAAAUAUAUAUGUUAUAUAUGCUUUUUAUUUUCAUCUUUUGUAUUAGCAAUAUACGAGUAACAUAAUACGCAUAGAAAAACAUAUAAUUAAAAUAAUAUAUAUAUAUAUAUAUAUAUAUAUGUAUACAUAUUAAAUAUUAAUAAAAAAAAAAUAUAUAUAAAUUAUUGGAAUAGUUAUUUUAAUAUAUAGUCAUAUAUGCUUUUAAAAUGAAAAAUCUAUCAGUGUUUUUUCUCCUUGUUUUUCUUUUGUGUAUUGAAAAAGUUCUAAGAACUACUAAUGUUGCAUUUGCUGGCGUAGAUUGUACUUCAUCUCAGAGAUCCCCGCAUACAGGAGGAAGAAAGCCAACAGUUGAUGUACAUAGUUUAAUUAAAGAUCUUAUAACAAAGGAAGAUGAAGUGGCUGAUUUAGAGAAAUCAAAUUCAAGAUGUAAAGUUAUUGCUAUAGUUUUGGGAAUACUAGCUACUAUUGCAUCAAUCGCUGCUGGUGUUCUGGCAUAUAAAUGUGCCUUUAAAAACACAAUGAGGAGUAGGCACUAUAAAAGCGGUGUGAAUAAUACCAAUGAUGAUGGUGGUAGUGGUGGUAGCAGUGAUGGUGUUGUAGGUGGUAGUGGUGAAGGAAGUGACAAAAAUCCAUUACCGUUAGAGAAAUGAUGUAAGAUCUCUAGUGAUAGAAGAAUGAACACUAAUAAGAAUAAUUUAGGAAAUAGGAUCUUGAAUUUAUAUAAAGUAAUUUACAAAAUAUAUUUUAUAUUAAUUAUUAGGUUUUCAAACACGUCAGUAUAUAUAUUUGUAUUAUUAAUAUAAAUAAAUGUUUUAUUUGCAUAUAUAUAAGCA